GGGGAUAUAAUUUAUUAUAAAAUAUUAUCUUUGCACGAUAAAAUAAGUAGUUAAAAUCUACUUAUCUCCA
rnacentral:tRNA from 1 species